rnacentral:lncRNA from 1 species
GCUGACAAGGGACAGCACCAUGAAGAACAGAGAUCCCAAAAGACACAGGACAAGACCAGAACAUUUAUGUUGUUCCUCCCCCACAAUGAAGCCUUAUAAACCUUCUAUCUUUCUUCCCUUGUAUCUUUAAAGGAGUUCGGGAUAGGAGUGAAUACUGUGACCUGGGGUUAUCAUUUAAUCUUUACAAUAUGCUUAGAGGGUAGCCCAAUAGGCUUUGCUGUGGGUAGCUGAGAUGAGGAGGGCCAGGAUUCCUACUGAAAAGACAGCAGAAGGGUUUCACAGCAGGGCUUCAGCCUCAGAGGUGAUUGAAGGAAUAACUGGAACCCUGUUUUAUUGAGUGUCACCAGACUGAUGAGGCUUGUAAUUGAAGUUGGGAAAAGCAAUCACUUUCAGAAAGUAAACCCUCUUGUUCCUGGUGCUCAGCUGGAAGAUUGGGAUUAUAUCACCAAAAAUGUUAAAUAAGCAAUUCACAUGAGUUUCCCACAUGGGGAUUCUGCAAUGCAUGUGCUAAAGAAGGCCAACUGAGUCCUGGGUGAGAAAAUGGAAUAGAGCGUUUUAUGCCCCUUGCCCAACUUUAAAUGUCCAUGCUUCUUCUUUUCUAUUUAAAAACAGGCAGGUUUAGUGAAUAAUAAACUUCCAAACUUCCUUCCUUCACAACCACUGACCAUGACUAACUCUUUGUGAAAGAA